ACAACGGGGUGCGACACGGUGACGUGGGGCGGAUCCCUGAAAACCGGUCUCAGUUCGGAUCGCAGUCUGCAACUCGACUGCGUGAAGGUGGAGUCGCUAGUGAUCGCGGAUCAGCAACGCCGCGGUGAAUGCGUUCCCGGGCCUUGUACACACCGCCCGUCAAGUCAUGAAAGUGGGCAGCACCCGAAGACGGUGGCCUAACCCUUGUGGGGGGAGCCGUCUAAGGUGAGGCUCGUGAUUGGGACUAAGUCGUAACAAGGUAAC
rnacentral:rRNA from 1 species